AGGGCCUAUUUUGUUUAGUAUAUCAGUUUUGUUCAGUUUUUUAUGUGCAUGCAAAAAGCAAUCAGCAAGCAAAUUAACUGAAGCUUUACCUUCAUGUUCUUUUUGUGUAAGUGAUAACUGUUUCUGUAUGUAUUUUAUGUAUUUGUAUGUUUUUUACACGUAUAGAGUGAAAUGCACACGGUGAGGAAUGGACCCAGACCUUCAGUGCCAGACCUCUGACCCGUUAACCUCCAUCCCGACAGCCAGCGCCUUCUCCGGCUCCCAUUGCGGUAUCGCUUCUCGGCUUUUUGGACAAAAUCAAGUGGACACCGGGGACUACAAGUUUAAAUGGAUUUUUGACCUUCGGAAAUGGAAGCGAGGCUUGCUCCGUCCACUCCAUUCAUCGACUCGGGCGCUUUCCGGGCACAAAUAAGUUUGCGGAGGUGAUACCAGGACGAAUUAAACAGCCUCGACACAGCUGAAGGCGCAACAAAAUCGCACGAGACAGUUUGGGAUGUUAAAAACACCUGAAAACUUUUUUUUUCACUACCCUUCAUACUACAGCUGUCGAAAAACCACAGCAACGUCGACACGCCUGGAAGCAUAGCUGUAUUUGUUUAAGACAACGGGUAAAGUAUUUUCUUGAUUACCUAAAUGACUUGCAGUAAGAAAAUAUUUUAAUUUAUAAUGAUAACUCUGUCAUCAUUUAUUCAUCCUCGUGUUGUUUUCAACCUGUAUGCAUUCGUAUUUUGGAGGUGACACGAUGACGACUUAAACAUCAUCGACACAGCUGAAAAAGCGAACGAGACAGAUUGGGAUGUUCAAAACACCUGAAAACUUUUUUUCACUGUACUACAGCUGUCGAAGAACCACAGCAACGUCGGCAGAUCUGGAAGCAUAGCUGUAUUUGUUUAACUCACAACGACAACGGGUAAGUCAUUGAGCCCUUGUGUUUUUAUUUAUCCACGUUCUAAAAUUGCUAUGCUUUCGUUGUUUCUCGAUUGCUCUGUACAUUUCUUUGUUUCUAUUCCACGUAAAGUUACUUUGUAAUAACGAAACGAUAUAUUGAAAUGCGCUAUUUAAAUCCAUUUGAUGUAAAUUGUUUCACGUUUUUCUCUCUGCACGGUUUAACCGGGCUGGAAACGGAAAAUGGGUAGAUCUCGAAGAAUAUUUGGUUUCAGACCUGGCUUCGUGCGCCUUUCCACCUGGUCACACACAGUAAUGAAAUGGUAGUCGGACGGCCUUCGGGGGCGCCGUCGAUGUGAUCGGUCACAGGAAGAUGCGGCCGUCUGGCCUCAAAGGCUGUUGCUCAUACUUACCUGGCAGGGGAGAUACCAUGAUCAUGAAGGUGGUUCACCCAGGGCGAGGCUCAGCCAUUGCACUCCGGUUGUGCUGACCCUUUGCGAAUUCCCCAAAUGUGGGAAUCUCGACUGCAAAAUUUCUGAUAGUGGGGGACUGCGUUCGCGCUCUCCCCUGGC